UAUUGUUCUCCGAAACUGUGCCUCCGUGCUUGCACCUUGCCUAGUCAAACUCUUUCAGCUCUGUCUGUCAACAUCUACCUUUCCUUCUUGCUGGAAGUUUGCCUACAUUCAACCUGUUCCUAAAAAGGGUGACCGUUCUAAUCCCUCAAACUACUGUCCUAUUGCUUUAAUUUCCUGCCUAUCUAAAGUUUUUGAAUCUAUCCUCAACAGGAAGAUUCUUAAACAUCUAUCACCUCACAACCUUCUAUCUGAUCGCCAGUAUGAGUUCCGUCAAGGCCGCUCUACUGGUGAUCUUCUGGCUUUCCUUACUGAGUCUGCAGCCAGUGUGGCGGCGUAUCUUGUGUGGUGCGCGUGUGUAUCGCGUUGUGUUCCUCCUCAAAGACUUAGUGGUGGUCAAGAUAACCACGAUUGGCCAAGCCUUUCCCGAAGUGUGCUACCAGUAGUGUACAGUGCCGCCGAAGUCCCGAGCGGCUUCGAGACAAGGAAGAGAAGCUCCGCGACUCACUUGAGCCAGUCAGUCAGUGCUGUGACACAAGGAGCAGCUUUCUCAGCGACGGGGAGCGGUGGACGGCGGAUAAAUACUUCGGCUCCCGCGCCUUCUUCUGCAUCAUGUCCGACCCUCUGACCCUGGUGGUGGGCGACGUGCGUCAGAGGAGUUGAAAAUGUAUGGGACUCGCUGCUGUGCCCUGCGUGUAGCUGUGAGGUGAAGUGCAGACGGCUGCAUUGUCUCAGCCUCGGAGGUGCCACUUGUUCAAAUUACGAAUGGUUUAAUGUUAUUUUUUGCAGGCUGUGGAAUAUUGCAGUAUCUUAUAACAAGACAAAUGA